rnacentral:rRNA from 1 species
GACGAACGCUGGCGGCGUGCUUAACACAUGCGAGUCGAACGGAAAGGCCCUGCUUUUGUGGGGUGCUCAAGUGGCGAACGGGUGAGUAACACGUGAGUAACCUGCCCUUGACUUUGGGAUAACUUCAGGAAACUGGGGCUAAUACCGGAUAGGAGCUCCUGCUGCAUGGUGGGGGUUGGAAAGUUUCGGCGGUUGGGGAUGGACUCGCGGCUUAUCAGCUUGUUGGUGGGGUAGUGGCUUACCAAGGCUUUGACGGGUAGCCGGCCUGAGAGGGUGACCGGCCACAUUGGGACUGAGAUACGGCCCAGACUCCUACGGGAGGCAGCAGUGGGGAAUAUUGCACAAUGGGCGGAAGCCUGAUGCAGCAACGCCGCGUGCGGGAUGACGGCCUUCGGGUUGUAAACCGCUUUCGCCUGUGACGAAGCGUGAGUGACGGUAAUGGGUAAAGAAGCACCGGCUAACUACGUG